rnacentral:tRNA from 1 species
GCUUUCGUGGUGUAGUGGUCAGCACGCUCGACGCGUAACCGAGAGUUCCGUGGUUCGAUUCCCGGCAAAGGCG